CUCUCCGUAGUUUAGUGUGGUUUAGAGCGUCAGACUGUAAUUAGCAUACCUAAAGUUGCUGAUCUGAAAGUCGGGCGUUCGACUCGCCCCGGGGAGA